UACGGAGGGUGCAAGCGUUAUCCGGAUUUACUGGGUUUAAAGGGUGCGUAGGCGGCCCUGUAAGUCAGUGGUGAAAUACUGCAGCUUAACUGUAGCAUUGCCAUUGAUACUGUAGGGCUUGAGUACAGAUGAGGUAGGCGGAAUUGAUGGUGUAGCGGUGAAAUGCAUAGAUACCAUCAAGAACACCGAUUGCGAAGGCAGCUUACUAAGCUGUAACUGACGCUGAGGCACGAAAAGCGUGGGGGAUCGAACAGG
rnacentral:rRNA from 1 species